rnacentral:rRNA from 1 species
GACGAACGCUGGCGGCGUGCUUAACACAUGCAAGUCGAACGGAAAGGCCCUGCUUUUGUGGGGUGCUCGAGUGGCGAACGGGUGAGUAACACGUGAGUAACCUGCCCUUGACUUUGGGAUAACUUCAGGAAACUGGGGCUAAUACCGGAUAGGAGCUCCUGCUGCAUGGUGGGGGUUGGAAAGUUUCGGCGGUUGGGGAUGGACUCGCGGCUUAUCAGCUUGUUGGUGGGGUAGUGGCUUACCAAGGCUGUGACGGGUAGCCGGCCUGAGAGGGUGACCGGCGACAUUGGGACUGAGAUACGGACCAGACUCCUACGGGAGGCAGCAGUGGGGAAUAUUGCACAAUGGGCGGAAGCCUGAUGCAGCAACGCCGCGUGCGGGAUGACGGCCUUCGGGUUGUAAACCGCUUUCGCCUGUGACGAAGCGUGAGUGACGGUAAUGGGUAAAGAAGCACCGGCUAACUACGUG